rnacentral:misc_RNA from 1 species
GAUGAAGAACGCAGCGAAAUGCGAUAAGUAAUGUGAAUUGCAGAAUUCAGUGAAUCAUCGAAUCUUUGAACGCAUCUUGCGCUCCUUGGUAUUCUGAGGAGCAUGCCUGUUUGAGUGUCAUUAAAUUCUCAACCGCACUGACUUUGAAUUGGUGUGGCUUGGAUUUGGGGGGAAAAUUGUUGUGGGCUUUUUUGUAUAGUCUGCUCCCCUGAAAUUGAUUAGCGGUACCUUUGUGGAACUGUCUACAGGUGUGAUAAUUAUCUACAUCCUAGACAUCUGCUGGAAUGCUGCUUUCUAAACCUUACUUGUAUUGACAAUCUUGACCUCAAAUCAGGUGGGACUACCCGCUGAACUUAAGCAUAUCAAUAAGCGGAGGA